GUAAGACCACUUCAUGAGUAGAGCUGUGUUCUUCCAUCAGUCGGAUUGCUUCUCUGUUUGUGAUGUUUGCAGCCAUUGAUGAUCACUGCCUAGAUCCAUUAAUUCAUUAAGGUCUGCAAAAUGGCCCUUUCUUCUCCACUCUGUCUCCCAGGUAGGAACCUCUGAAGCUGAGGAUGUAUUCUCGCUGGCUUCAUUAUUGUCAUCAUUCCUCCUCGUGACCUAUUACACAUUUCUGAAGAGAAACUCCUCUCACCAGCUCUUUUGUUUCCUAAGAUGGCUGGGAUCCUGAUACCUACGUGCAUGAGAAGCCAUACCAGAAUGCCAGCCGACAUUUGUGUGCAGAGACGUUGCCUGUGGAGCUGUCUCCAGAAGAGGAUGCAGCUGCAGGUACAUGAGGACCACACUCCCCCUCCCAAGCCUAAUGUUCCCUACAUGGCAGCACACUGAGCGUUGGCAAUGCAAAAACCACUUCUCAAUUACUCAUAAUUGAGCUGCAAAAACAGACUAUUCUUUGCUGAAACUUGACUUCUCAUCCUGGAAGCAGAUUUUUCUCAUUUGGGAUGGGAGGGGGGCAAAUCAUAUUAAAAUUUGCUGGAAAAUUUUGCUUGGAACAAGGUACAAAAAUGUUCCUUGGAGGUUGCAGAUGCCUCAGUUAUCAUUCUUUAACAAAAUCAGGGCUCUCUUUGUAAAAACAAACACGACCCAGGCAUGUUCACUCUUUCUUUGGAAUGUAUCCGUUGUGCUAAAUUAGAUUUUUUAAAUACCCUCACCACUGGCCCCAAGGUUGUGCGUGGCUAUUGCUGACUCUACAACAGAGGAAAUAAAGGCUAAAUUUAUUCUGCUGACUCCCUGGUUCUCUGCUUAUCCAAAGGGCACUGGGAUUCAUUUUGGAAAAUCCUAGAGAUUACACACAGGCUUUCUUCCAGGGAUAAGUUAAAGAAUUUAGGAAACACCCAGGCUUGUGUCUUAACACACUUGGAAAAAAAAAAAACAAACAUGUCUUAUAAGGUGUCCCAGUGACCCAAAAUAGGUAAAACACCUCCCAAGGAAGCACUUUUCUGUAAAAUCUGGUUCUUUAACCCCUGUGCCUCUUCUCAUUCUCAAAACUGCACAAGAAGCAACAUGCCCAAGGUUCUAGCCCAAAUUGACAUUGCAUUAACACUGUCAAAACAUUAAUGGAAAGUGUCCCAGGAAGGACUAGAGAGAUUUCUUCUACCCCAUUGUUGCUGACUCUGACUUCCUGGUUCCAUCAAGAUUCCAAAGGGGAGGAGAAACUUGAUGCUUACCUCGGGGAAAUCUCUGAGUAUAAAACCUUAACUGAACCUACUGAGAUCAGGAAGAGCUCAUGUCCAGAAGCUGUCACCCCUCUCCUGGACAGACAGGCUUGCAGGGAGCCCCAGCUCUGUCCACAGGAGCCUUGGCCUGUGAUCUGACUCUGGACUUGGGACCCCCUCUCCAAGAGGUAGGGAGGGCAGACCUCCCAAAACAGAGCGUUCCAUCCAAGGCUCUUUAUAAUUUCCAAGGCUGCCCUCUAAAACCUACUCCUUUGUUUCCCUUUAUCUUCCCCCCCAUCAAUUCCCUUCCCUUCUAUUUCCAAAAACCAUAACCAUAACCAAAUUUGGCCUGAUUCUUUAACCUAUAAACCUAAAAAUUCAGAAAUCAGGCAGCUCUAACAUUCUUGAAUUGUGCCUCAUGAUACUUCAGUUGUUGCUGUUGUUGUCAUUUUGUUUGUCAGAAGAAUACUUUGCUAUGUAGGUGAAUUUAAAAAGCGACCCUGGAAAAUUAUAUUUCAUUAUAAAAUACAGCGGCAUAAGGCCCUCUCCAAAAGACAUGCUACAGCUUCUGCCUUGUUGAUUUAACCGUAUAAACCUGUGAGGAGCAUGAGUGCACAUCCAAAUAGACAUAUCUCACAUGAACACGCUCAACAGAGACAUGGUGCAGGAGCUAUGUGGGGCCUUGGGCUGAACCAGCAGUUAGAGCAUACAAAAUACCACUACAGACAAACUACAGGCAAGUUCUAGAAAGUCCAGUUGAUACUACAUGAGCAAGCCAGUGAAAAGAAACAAUUGCCUGUAGCAACACAGGAUACAAAAUAUAUUUUUAGAACAGGGUCUUAAAAGUGUUAGGACAUUAAGGAUGCUAAGGAAAUCUGGUCUGUAUCAGUGAAAAUAAUUUUGAAAACUGAGAAAAAUGCUAAAGUCCAAUGUAAAGGAAAGGGUGGAAGAGGCAAGUAAUUGACAGGUUUCCUGGUGGCUACGCACCUGCGGAGCACUUACUCACCUCACUCACCUCACUUAGCGCUUUCCCAGGCAUGUUUUAUUUCCUUUGCAGUCCUCAGCACCCUCCGAAUGACCCCCUGAUAACAGCAAUGGCCAGCAUUUCUCUGAUGCUCUGCUAAUUCCACACGUAACCUCAUCUGAGUCUCACAAUGACCCUGUGAGGUAAGGAUUAUUGUCUCCCAUUUUACAGAGAAGGAAACUGAGACCCAAGUGGUACGCAAGUGUCCCUUGGAUACCUACUAGUAAGUGAUGCCUUACUGGUAGGUAUCUUAAGCUCACUAUCAGUAAGGGACACAGCAGAAGCUCCACCCCACUUGGUGACUCUCAGUGACAAGCCCUCCCUACCUGGCCAUACCACCUCAUGUGGUGUAAAGCUCUGUCGCCAAAAGCAUAUGGAAAACACUCACACGAGUAAAACCAAAUAUCCACUUGCAUUGUCCAAAAUGACAUCCAGCGUCGAGAUGCCAGGAAAUAUUCCUAGACACAUAUAGGUUGUCCAUUCUUCAUUCAGCAGUUUAGAGACAAAGGCAUAAUUAGGCCCAUCUGUAAAUAAAGUGAGUCCCUGACACAGGACACAAAUAAAGUGCUUCACUGUC